rnacentral:rRNA from 1 species
AUUGAACGCUGGCGGCAGGCUUAACACAUGCAAGUCGAACGGUAACAUAAAGAAGCUUGCUUCUUUGAUGACGAGUGGCGGACGGGUGAGUAAUGCUUGGGAAUCUAGCUUAUGGAGGGGGAUAACUACGGGAAACUGUAGCUAAUACCGCGUAGAAUCGAGAGAUGAAAGUGUGGGACCUUCGGGCCACAUGCCAUAGGAUGAGCCCAAGUGGGAUUAGGUAGUUGGUGAGGUAAAGGCUCACCAAGCCGACGAUCUCUAGCUGGUCUGAGAGGAUGACCAGCCACACUGGGACUGAGACACGGCCCAGACUCCUACGGGAGGCAGCAGUGGGGAAUAUUGCGCAAUGGGGGCAACCCUGACGCAGCCAUGCCGCGUGAAUGAAGAAGGCCUUCGGGUUGUAAAGUUCUUUCGGUAGCGAGGAAGGCAUUUAGUUUAAUAGACUAGGUGAUUGACGUUAACUACAGAAGAAGCACCGGCUAACUCCGUGCCAGCAGCCGCGGUAAUACGGAGGGUGCGAGCGUUAAUCGGAAUAACUGGGCGUAAAGGGCACGCAGGCGGUGACUUAAGUGAGGUGUGAAAGCCCCGGGCUUAACCUGGGAAUUGCAUUUCAUACUGGGUCGCUAGAGUACUUUAGGGAGGGGUAGAAUUCCACGUGUAGCGGUGAAAUGCGUAUAGAUGUGGAGGAAUACCGAAGGCGAAGGCAGCCCCUUGGGAAUGUACUGACGCUCAUGUGCGAAAGCGUGGGGGAGCAAACAGG